UAACGAAUCUUGGGCAAUGGGCGCAAGCCUGACCCAGCGAUGCCGCGUGCAGGAGGAAGCCCCUCGGGGUGUAAACUGCUGUCAGGGGGUAGCAAGCGAAGGGAGUUAACAGCUCCCGGAGUUGAGCAGCCCCAGAGGAAGCCUCGACUAACUCUGCGCCAGCAGUCCCGGUAAGACAGAGGAGGCACGCGUUGUUCGGAAUCAUUGGGCUUAAAGCGCGUGUAGGCGGCCGAGUAAGUGUUGUGUGAAAGCCCGCGGCUCAACCGCGGAACGGCACGGGAAACUGCUCGGCUUGAGGUCGGUAGAGGUGGCUGGAACUCUAGGUGGAGCGGUGAAAUGCGUAGAUAUCUAGAGGAACGCCGGAGGCGAAAGCGGGGCACUGGGCCGAUUCUGACGCUGAGACGCGAAAGCGUGGGGAGCAAACA
rnacentral:rRNA from 1 species